AAGUCGCCACUCCAAAGCAUUGACUAGUUUGCGUGUCAAACUCGGAUAUCCACGUCUCGUCACCAGUAACAACGCGUUCCGUGAAUGAUGGGUCGGAAUUUAUACGUUCUAGUAUGUUCUCAGCGAG